ensembl:snRNA U1 U1 spliceosomal RNA
AUACUUACCUGGCAGGGGAGAUACCAUGAUCGUGAAGAUUUUUUCCCAGUGCGAGGCUUAUCCAUUGUACUCCAGAUGUGCUGACCCCUGCAAUUUCCCCAAAUGUGGAAAACUUGACUGCAUAAUUUGUGGUAGUGGGGGACUGCGUUCGAGCUUUCCCCUG